UUCAGCAGGCAGAAACGCGAGCCCCCGGCAAAUGCUUGGAGGAAGGCGCUGCCUGCCACGUGCCGGUGGUGCCGGGAGCCCAGAGAUCCGGGGAGGAAGUCAUCGGGCACAGCGACUCUGGCAGCUGAAGCACAGAUGGGUCCCCACGUAGCGCUGAAAGUCUGCGCUGUGUUCCUGGCUGGCUGUCUCUGAAAGCAGAUUUUAUCUAAACUCCUUUCACAAGGAAGUUCUUUAAGUUCGUUGGUGAUGAAAUCCCCCAGGAAAGAAAGCCCAGAGGGUCCAGCCUGAUGCAGUUACACCGUCUAACAGAUUGCUAAAGGAAGAUUUUAGAGGGUGAAUCUCUUCAGUGACACAUGGUCAUAUGCACAUAUCGGACCGAACGAUGGCUCUUUCCACCAGAUUCCUCCAGACUGUUAGAAUAUUUUUGUCUGUGGUGCCAUUUAUGUGACAGUUAAUCACACACUGCAUUGUGAUGUUUCUUAUACUGAACCAUUAUGUGUGUGUUCAUGAUCCCCUCUGAACUACUCAAUGCCAGGAACGCAUCCUCAGGGGCCACCACCAUCCUUCCGGGUCCUGACACCCAGGCUCCAUCAGAGUUGCUGUCCUCUCGUGCAGCAUCCAGCCUCUGGAUGCCUCUUUUCUCUUCCCGUCUUCACCUGGCCUUCCUUUCCUAGCCAGCCUGGAUACCACACAGAGAACAUGACUUGGAGAGCAAAUCCGGGAUCUGGCUGGUGAGGAAAGAAACAAAGAUCCAUUGUUUUGAUUUCGCACAGAACUAGGAGACACUCCAGUGGCCCUUUUGCUGUCUGAUAUGUCUAAAACAAGGAAGGAUUUUCGGAUAGUAGGAUACGCGUAAAAAAUUACAACCAGUGUUGAGAACCACUUGUUGAUUUUUUUAAUGACAAAAUUAGGAUGAUAAUUACAUGUUUUACAUCAUUUCAGAACUCUGUUACAUCAAGUCAUUUUGCCUGUCUUGAAAUAUUCUUUUGAAAUGUGCUUUUUUUUAAAGCAAAGACUGCAUAGAAUCAUGUGGCUCGGAUGCACCAUGACUUACCCCAUUGUUGAAUACGUAGGUUGUUUCAGGUUGCUCAUGGCUGUAAAUAAUACUGGGAUAAACCUCUUCAUACGUAA